ACCUGUGUCACAAUGCAUGCAGAUGUGUUUUACACCUCCUGCACGGAUGCCAGCCCUCACCUCCUGCUCUCCUGUGAUACUCAGAACCUUGAGAGCAGUGCAUCUCUCUGAGGAAGAGCCCUGGCUCAAUACCUGCGUUAAGGGGUAGCAGCACAUCGAUGGAACAGAGCUCUGCAGUCUAACACAGGAGCGGUGCGGUGGGAGCUGCCCUGAGCUGAAGCUGGGCCUCGUGCUUCUAUCAUCGACUGCAGGCAAGUGAGGGUCUGUUAGCCACUAGAAAUGUAUACAUGCUCUUCAGGGUAUUUACCCAGGAUUCUCAUCUUGGCUGGCUGUUUCCUUACAAAAGGAAGAAAAAUUUUCCGAGAAGAGACUGCACAAUGAAAGAAGAGGUUCUACACUGUGGAGGAGCCUGUGGCAGAAAGCAGAUGAUGUUAAAGCAGAUGGUUCCCUAAAGCUGGGUGGUCAGAUCGGGUUAGGGCACUAACUGUCCUCCUAGUUGUCUUGGCGGUAUCUUAGGGUGAUCUGAGUUACCUAAAUGAGGCAUCAGCUCCCCCGCCGACCCUGCAGAGACCAUAGUGGUAUCAAUCUCUAUUUUAAGAAAUAAAGAGUGAAAUUCUGAACCUAAUGAUGCCAAGUUUAUCUGUUUGUAUUACUUAAAGCAAGGAGCUGAAGUGGUGGAGGGAUCUGUAGAAAGUAAAUUAAGGAA